GGGGGAGCGCGGGCGCGCGGGCGGCCUUCCGGCCUCUGCUGUGGCGCCCGCCGGCGUGGUUGCCGGGGACGCGCGGGAUGGGGCCCGGCCCUGCAGGCCGCAAAGCGGGUCGGGGAGGCGCUUUCCCGGGGACCUUCUGAUCCCGGGAGACUGAACAUAAGCAAGCGAGGAGGUGCAGUAGUGUGAGAGGCUGACCAGAAGACCACUUGGGCCAGCGUUCCUGGGGAAGACUUCCCGGCUAGAAGGAAUUCUAGGUAGUCACAGAAGAACAUGUAGGUCAUCUAGAGCUCUAGGAUGGAACGAGCAUGGAAGCAAAAGCCAGCAACGAAAGAAGGAACUGCUAGAAAUGUAAGAUUCAUCCUGGUCAGUAGUUGGACAAAAGACUGGAGGAUCUAGUAUGUAGAAUCUAGAACCUAAGAAGCCUUGAAUGAAAGCCAGGAUGACACUCUUAUUUUCCAUCACCCAAAGUUUGAUUAGAGACUAGUUUGGAGGUGAGAUGCAAGACAGAUUUCCCAGAAAGUUCCAGCUGAGAAAGUGUCCUGCAUGAGCAGCAGGUCUGAAUGGAGAGUUUCGGGUUUCCUGGGUGUGUUCCAGGUUCAGCCUUGAAAGUCAUGUUGCACCUGGGGCCUUUUCUUUCUCUGUGUAGAUAGAACUGUCCAUUCACUGGGAAGGAUCAUACUCUAUAGCAUCUAGUCCUUUUUUAUUUUGCCCAGCCUGUGGCUCACUAUGUCAUCUUGGUGUAAAUUAACCCAGAGUUUUUACUCAUGGCAACACUAAUGGGGAUCUAUGGAAAUGGAAUGGGCUGUUUAAAUUCCGGGGAGUAGGGAGAGCUUCCGGAAAGGAAAUUGUGUGAAACAACCACAAGAUGGUGGCACUCUACCCUCAUUUCUAGAAUAGAAAACCCUCCCAUAGAAUUUGAGAAACUUCCAGGAAUUCCUUGGCCCUUUUCUCAAUCAUGGAAAGAACCCCUGCAACAGUCUUUGGUAAUGAGUUACAUAUAUAUACAAUAUUUAUUCCCAUAGACACAGAAGAACGAAAAGCAUCCAAGGACAAUCCUUGAGCUCAGUGUUCCUUGUCUUUUUGGGUGCAGCUUAUGAAGCCCAGAGUAAUUAGGAUUAUAGGGUAAAUGUUUUGUUCAGCCAGUGUUGUUUGCGUUCAGAAUCUGAGCCUGAGGAAUAUUUGAUCUUACCUGUGCCUGUGAUCAUAUCUGUUAUUUAUGAGCACAUAGCAUGGUGCUUGACACUUAGUCUUACUUGUGUCAACUCGUAGAAUCUUCAUAAGAGAAUCUGGAGGUGAGGUUUCCAUGGCUCAUUAUGCAGACAUGGUUCAGUGAUAAAGAUGUCUGUAUGCUCUAUGUACCUCAUCAACCCCAACCAUGAUCUUGGGCCUUUCUUCACAUUUUCCAAACUAAUACUGCAUCUGGCACAAUGCUGCAGAGAGCUGUCUUUAAUUAGCAAUCUCAACACUCAAAAACAAGCCUAACUUACAAAAUUUGGACAGCACUCACACACCUGGUGAUUUUGCCCUUGAAGAUUGUGUUUUAGUUUUGUUCCCUAGGAACAAAAAGGGAUAAAGUCCCUACUGACUAUCUGUAGGUUUUAAGGGUAUCUCUUGGAAACAGCGCAUGGGAUCAUAAAAUAUUCAUCUGAUCAUCUGUCUUCUAUCUGCAGAGCUUAGUCCAUUUGCAUUUAUUUUCAUUCCUGAUAUGUUCUUUUUCUAUUAUUUUACACACUUUCUAUUCAUUGUGUUGUUUUUUUGCUUUGCUUUCCUUCCCCUCUUUCUUUUUCCUUUUUUUUUUUUUAAAGAUUUUAUUUAUUUUUUGACAGAGAGAGACACAGCGAGAGAGGGAACACAAGCAGGGGGAGUGGGAGAGGGAGAAGCAGGCUUCCCGCAGAGCAGGGAGCCUGAUGCGGGGCUCGAUCCCAGGACCCUGGGAUCAUGACCUGAGCCGAAGGCAGACGCUUAACGACUGAGCCACCCAGGCACCCCUCCUUUUUUUUUUUUUUUAAAGAUUUUAUUUAUUUGACAGAGAGACACAGUGAGAGCAGGAUCACAAGCAGGGGGAGAGGGAGAGGGAGAAACAGGCCUCCCGCCGAGCAGGGAGCCCGAUGCGGGGCUCGAUCCCAGGACCCUGGGAUCAGGACCUGAGCAGAAGGCAGACGCUUAACGAUUGAGACACCCAGGCGCCCCCCUUCCCCUCUUUCUUGGAGGUACCAUUAAUCUAAGAGUACUUUAAGCCACCCAGGCGCCACUCUCCCUUGAUUUUCAUCAAAGGUGUACUCCUACUUAACAUGAGUCUGUGUACAGUGGAGUUCUUUAUGGACAUUGGGUGUGUUGCUUAUUAGAAAUGAAAGGAUCUGACUGCAGACAUAGCCUCUGACAGAGAAAAUCCAGUGUCUGUUUCAUUUUCCCCCAAUAAGAAAUGUAUGAACUGGGGUAAUAUCAGUAAGACACCAGUUAUAGUUCUCCGGAUAAAUUGUUAAGUUUAUUGUCAAAUCAUUCUUAGCUGACCUGAGGAAAGAAAAAAAGAGGAAGAGGGAGAGAAGAAGGGAGGGAAGGAGGAAAGAAGAGUGAUCUUCAUGCCUGGCGGCUCCUGGAUAGGCUGAAUUGCUAAGUGUUAAGAUGGAAUGAGCUGGCAGGUCAAAUCCAAGAGUGCAGAGCUGAUGGGACUGCCCUCUGAUGACACAUCCCCCCUGUAAAGCCACACCACAGCAACACCUUUCCUCUCUUACCCAUGUCUUCUUCCUCUGCCUGGCUCCCUAGCUCACUGGAAGUUUCCUGUUGCUUGAGGGUCCUGGGAGCCACCAUGAACUAAUUCUCUGAUCGACAUCACUUGAAGAAUCUUUAGAGUUGUCUUGAGAGAGGUCUUGCAGUUAUUUGAAUUAGGAAACCUCCUGUUAAAUUAUGUCCACAAAUUCUUUGAUAACCCCCUUCAAGAGAUAGAGCCUAAUCUCCUUCCCUUGAGUGUAAAAUAGCCUCAGUGACUGAGUUCUAAUGGAUACAAAGCUGUAGGAUUGAUGCUGUGACUUCCGAGACUAGGUUAUAAAAGGCACGUGGUUUCCCCCUUGUUCUCGCUCUCUCUUUCUCUCUCGGGUGACUUGCUCUGGGCAAGACCAGCUGCUGAGUUGUGAAGACACCCCAGCAGCCCUGUGGAGAGGUCCUUGUGGGGAGUAAUCAAAGUCUCCUGUUAACAGCCAGCAAGGAAUGAAGCCUCCUGCCAACAGUCAUGUGUAUGAACCAUCCCGAGGACAGAUCUUCCAGUCCCAGUCAAAUCUUCCAGUGCCUGCAUACCCAGAACCAGAACUGCCCAGCAAAGCCACUCCCAAGUUGUCGACCCAUAGAAACUGUGUGAGAUGAUCAGUGUUUAUUUCUUUAAGCUGUUAAGUUGGGGGGAUGAUCUGUUGUGCAGAAAUAGACAACGAAGACAUUCUCUCACAUAAAAUUGUGCAUCACCAGAA